CAUUUGAAGCACAUGCAUUUCCGCCUCUUUUGGGCUAUUGAGUUGCACUGUGUUGGCUAUAUCUUGGAGGGAGAGAGUCAAAUAUGUCUGGGUCAAUCUCUGGAUAUUUCUCUUGUACAUAGAUGAUAGAACCUGCUUAACAAGUCCUAGAUUAUUGUCACUUUCAAACUUCUCCCUGCUUGUCUGGACAUAUGUCUCUAGUUCUGCAAUUUUUCCAGUACUAUAACUAUUUGCCAAUUCAAUGUACGGCUGCUCAAGGACAAAAAUAAUGGAUUGAAGAAUAGAACUAAAUGAAAAGUCAACAUGAUUCAACUAGAAACCAAAUGGUUGGAAACUCUGCAUGAAAAUUUAAACUAAUAGUAUUCAUAGAAAGCAACAAGUAAUCUAGUCUCAUUAAUUAAAAAUUUUGUAACAGAAAAAUUAAAAUAUAUUAAAAUAUAUAUAUCCAGGAAGAUCAAAAUUUUUUUGCACCAAAAUCAUAGUGGCGUAUCAUUGGUCAUCUGAUGCAGGAUAGUAAGGGUGAAUUUUCCUUUUUGAAAGGAAAUACAAAUGAUAUUAAAAGAAGUACCACCAACCUAUUCCUGAUGAAGAAUAUCUGCUCAUUCAUAUUGCAGGAAGCUAUUCCCUAUUUUGUUCUGAAAAUAACUUUGGGUCAUUAUGAUUGUGAUCCCUGUCAAAGCCUCAAUUGGGAAAAUUUUCCAUAUGGUUACUUAAGAUAAUCAGCAAAAUGGCUCAUUUUGGAUGAUUUUCAACUGUUGAUCCCAGCUAAAGUACUAAAUGCCAUUCAACUACUAGCCUAGUAGUCCAAUGCUGGCAAUGCAGUGUAAAAAGUCAAUGCUCUAAACAUUGAAACCCCCUUCUCCUUCAAAAGUUCCCAAUGUACCAAAAAAAGAGUAUUAAUGCAACAUAAACAGUAAAUACCAAAUAAUGUUUAGCUAAAAUUUUCCAAUUACCUGACAGAAGUUCUUCAGAUUUCUCUGAGCUGCUGAGGAAGCAUAUUUAGGGAGACUGGUGGAGAACUGUCCCUGGUGAAUAAGAGAAACCAAUAUGUAUUUUUUGUACGCUUCAACAGCUAUAGCAUUUAUAGAAGACAUAGGAGCAGUGACAACAUUGUGCAGAAGCUCUAAUGCUUUUUGAAAGCGCUUUUGUCCAAUGCACAUCAUCCCUCUGUCAAUGUAGAAAGCCGUUAGGCACUUAAAGUCCAGAGAACAAAGCAUCUGCUAAGUUUUCAAUAAAACAGUCUUUUUCUUCUUCUGUUUUACUUGUUUGUUUAUCAUUUUUCAUAAGUCAUCCAAACUCUAAUUUUUUUCUUGGUAACCAAAAUUGUAAAUUUGGUCACAAUCAGAAUCAGAUACAUGAUGGCUCAAUGAUUUAUGACUGAAACCGGUAACAGAUGCUGAUGCAGAAUACCCUUCUAAAGAUUUUAGGAGCACUUAUUUUAGAAAAAAAUAUAGAAAAUAAGAAUUUUUCGUUUUUUAUGAUUGUGUAUUCUAAAUAGAUUAGGUUCCUAAGUAAAUUGGGAUUCUUCGAUUCCAAAUUAUGAUUGAAUUAGGGUUCUCUAAUCCUAAUGAGAUUUGGAUUCCUAAUCCUAUAAAUAAGACUUAGGUUUUUCAUUGUUAACAGUUUUUGGUGAUGACAAUUUUAUGAGAUCAAUAAACUUUGAGAAUUAGUUCUUUUUUCUUCAAGGAUCGGUCCUUGAAAUUUUUUUCUUGUACUUUUGAUUCUGAAUUUUCUUUGUUUUGUUCUUUGUUCCCUUUGUUCUACAUCAGCAUGUCUAUAAGAUCUAUUUAGCACGGAAACGGAACAAGAAAACGGACACGGGGAGACAACAUUUUCAAAAAUAUAAGAAAUAAA
rnacentral:misc_RNA from 1 species